GAUGGGAGUGGGUAUCUGGCAUGGAGACUGAAAUUUGUCCAAAAGGAAGCAUCAGAGGGACAAAAGAGGACCGGCAGACAGUCCCCCACACAAAGAAGUGCUCCAGAAGGUGAUCGAGAACCCUUUGUGGAGGAAAACUGGCUAAACACAGACACCCUGUGUUCAGAGGCUACUGCACUGAUGAAGCAUACAGUAGAUGAAGUAGUUGUCAAGGAGAAGAUGAAGCAGACCUUCACCUAUCGCCAAAAGAUGGUUCAUGACCCAGUGAAGUCGUCUGACAUAUUCACAGCGUUUCCAAGAUUUCUAGACAUUGCAGGAUUGAUUGAGCAAGAUUUCAGUCUGAUGUUUGGUGAUGCCGUCUCUGCAAGGUUCCUGGAGAAGUGGCCCACAGUCUACAAAAGCAAAGUCCUUCAACAAAGCCGUGGCCUCACGCAGACAGCUGAACUUCAAGACCUGGUACAAAAUGCUGA